rnacentral:lncRNA from 1 species
AUAUUUGAGUUAUAGCAGGAUCAAGUUACAAUAGAGAUUCUCUAGUAUAAUUCCUCCUACCACUUCCUUGUCCCCUUUCCAUAAUAAAAGCCAAAAUAUUUCUUCAAAACUCUCUACUCCAAAAAUUUUUACGUCGGGUUUAUCACGUCUAUCAUAUGGCAUGAUUUGCUAUCUGGGAAUACACUGAGUAUUUAGCUAUAGAGAAUGUAGCUUAAAUCCUUAGAUUGCAUGUGCUGACUUCAAAAUUCAAUAACUCCUUCAUUUCAACUUCAAAUCUAAUAAGCAGU